CCUACGGGUGGCAGCAGUAGGGAAUCUUUCACAAUGGGCGAAAGCCUGAUGGAGCAACGCCGCGUGCAGGAUGAAGGCCUUCGGGUUGUAAACUUCUUUUAUCAGCGAGAAAUAUGAUGGUACCUUAUGAAUAAGGCUCGGCUAACUACGUGCCAGCCGCCGCGGUCAUACGUAGGAUCCGAGCAUUAUCCGGAGUGACUGGGUGUAAAGAGUUGCGUAGGUGGCAUAGUAAGUAGCUAGUGAAAUCUGGUGGCUUAACCAUUCAGACUAUUAGCUAAACUGCUACGCUCGAGAGCGUUAGGGGUAACUGGAAUUUCUAGUGUAGGAGUGAAAUCCGUAGAUAUUAGAAGGAACACCGAUAGCGUAGGCAGGUUACUGGGACGGGUCUGACACUAAGGCACGAAAGCGUAGGGAGCAAACGGGAUUAGAUACCCCUGUAGUC
rnacentral:rRNA from 1 species